rnacentral:misc_RNA from 1 species
CAUCGAGAUAAUCAAGACAGAAAAAUCAAACAUAAGCUAUGAAGUUUGGGAAGGAGUUCAAGACCCACCUUGAGGAAACCCUGCCGGACUGGAGGGACAAGUUUCUGUGCUACAAGCCCCUCAAGAAACUCCUCAAGCAGUUCCCUGCAACUUCUGAUGGCUCUUCCACCUUUCACCCUAUUUUUCUUCUCCAUCAACGGCUUCCGUCUCCCCCUGCCCCUGCUUCUGCUGAUUAUCCUCAUCCUGAGAGUGGUACAAACAGGUCCUUGGUGCUCCUCCAAGAAUGGUUUAUUAGAAUUUUAAAUGAAGAGCUCGACAAGUUCAAUGAUUUCUUCGUUGAUAAGGAGGAAGAGUUCAUUAUCCGAUUUCAGGAAUUGAAGGAAAGAAUUGAGCGUCUAAAGGAACAGAGCAGCAAGAAUGGAGUUUUUACAU